rnacentral:lncRNA from 1 species
CUGCAAAAAUUGAUAAUUUUUAGAUUAACUUAUUUGUCAACUUUGUCAAGUUCUUAUAACUAUUGAGACCCCAGAAACACUGUUUCAGGAUGCUGUUAGAUCUAUCAAUCUCUAGACAAUACUACUUUAGGAAGAUUUUUGGGUCACUUCUUAUCUCUCCCUAAUGCACAUUUAUGUGUGUGUACAGGCAGACUUUUGAGAGUCCUAUCCUGUGACAGUUUAGUUUUCCCCUCCCCCAAUUCUACACUUUAUAACUGUUUUGGCAAUGAUCUAUUCAUUGUUUCACUGCAGAGUUUUGUACAAUAAAGGACUGUACAACAUGUACCCUUUGAUAAUACCCACAGCUAUCUCUGUGGUAACAAAAUCUUUGUAAGUGAUCUGAAAAGGAAAAGACAACUGUGGUGGUCAGUCUCCCAGAGGGCCCCAAUGAUGUCACCUCCUGUUACUCCAACUUUUGGUUGUCACUAAGAUCUCACUCACAGGGUUGGUGACUGAAAAACUAAGCAGAAGUGGUAGGAUGUUUCUUCUGAAAUUAGGUAAUAAAAAGCACUGAAGCUUCCAUUUGGUUUCCUCUCUCUUUCUCGCUCCUUUUUCAUCAUUCACCCUGGAGGAAACCAUCUGGCAUGUUUUGAGUAGCCCUACAGAGAAGCCCACAUAGUGAAGAACUAAGGCCUAUCAAGAGCCACAUGAAUGGCCUUAGAAAGGAAACUUUUAGGGGCCAAUGAGAUUUCAGAUGACAGUCAUCCUGACCAACAGCACCACUACAAUGUCAAGAGAGAUGCUGAGUUGGAACCACCCAGCUAAGCCACUCCCAGAUUCCUGACCUUCUGCAACUGUAUAAGAAAACAAUUGUUUGAAGUUGCUAAGCUUAGGGAUAAUUUGUUACACAGUAACAGAAAACUGAAAUAUUAACCGAAACAAAUGGAAUUAACCAAAAAGGAGGAGGAAAAGAAAAGCCCUAAAGAAAAGGGAAAACUUUACAUAAAAAGGGAGAGGGACUCUAAUUUCUUCUUGGUUACUGGAUAAUAAUUUAGUUUUCCUCUGAAACACUUUUAGCAUAUUUCUGAAGGUAAUGUCUUAUCUUCUCUGCAUUCUUCCAUCUGAUUAUUAAUCUCUUUUAC